rnacentral:rRNA from 1 species
UACAGAGGUCUCAAGCGUUUGUUCGGAUUCAUUGGGCGUAAAGGGUGCGUAGGCGGCGAGGUAAGUCAGAUGUGAAAUCCCGGAGCUUUAACUCCGGAACUGCAUUUGAUACUGCUUUGCUUGAGGACUGGAGAGGAGAUCGGAAUUCACGGUGUAGCAGUGAAAUGCGUAGAUAUCGUGAGGAAGGCCAGUGGCGAAGGCGGAUCUCUGGACAGUUCCUGACGCUGAGGCACGAAGGCCAGGGGAGCAAACGGG